GAACUCUGUGGUGUAAUUUACAAUGCUCUAAUCUCUAGCAGUCAAGAAAAAUUAGGGCUGCUAAUUUUGGAAUCUGGAGCCUCUAGCAAAAGGAGAGAGACAGCUUCUGCCUAGAUGUGCCCCCUUGGGACUGGGGACUUCCUGGGGUAUUAAUCACCCAGGCGGAACUAGAAUAUGCAAGCAGGAAUGGUUCCUUUUGCCUGUCUUUUCAGCUGAGUCCUGAAAAUGUGUUUGGAGGUUAUUGUAGAAACCACUACAUCACUGCAUCCCUUCUUAUUCUCGAGAGCACAGCUAAAUAUUUGCCAGCCAUGUCGGUGCUGUUGAUAUUCUGUGUGGCCUUGUGGCCAAGUUCUCUCAAAUAAAAAAGGUACAUCUGC